UUGAUCUUUCUUUCAAGACUUGGAAAGACACCAACAAAUAGGUAGUCUGUACUUGUAACUGAAACUUAAGUAGUAUAAGCCCACAAACUGUGCAUGAAGAAGCAUAAAUGAUUGUCUACUGAUGGUUUUCCAGCUCCCAGAGCACUGCAUGGCUCUUAAUAUUCUAGUGAACUUUCCCUUUAGACAAAAAAUAGCUCAAGUUAAUAUCUCCUAUUUAAAACCAAGACAGCCUUGACUAAGAUAGCCCUCUAGUUUGGUAGUACUUCUUAUAGAAAUUUAUGUGAAUUUUGUAAACAUGGUUAUACUUUAUGUUGUGGGCAGAGGAGAAGUAGGCGUAAUGGAGAGAAGGUUACUACAUUGGUCAGAGUUUUGAGUUGCAGGCAACAGAUUUCACUGAAGUCAGUCUAAACAGGAAAGGAUAAAUUAAAACAUAUUAGAUAGUUCAUAGAAUCUCUGAACAGAAGAGUUUUGGAGGUUAUGUGACUAAGAACAGAUCAGCCACAUACAACACAUGCAGAAGAAUUGAUCGAUUACAUUAUGGAAUCAUUUUUAGAGGUACCUGUGAUGUUAGGAACUGAUGGCAGAAAUACUUCCACAGCAAACCCAGGAAAAGCCAAAGGCUUUCCUACCAUGUUUAUUAGAAGAACAUGUCUCAUUGUAGGUUCAGCCACUGACUCAAAUUACCUCCACUUCCAAAUUAAUGGUUCCAUGUGUACCUGAAAGCAGUACAUAUAGGUUUUGAUUAACCAGUGAAUCUGCAGAGACCUGGAGGCAAAACAUGGUCAUAAAAGGUGGAGGCCUCAUACCUGGAACAAAUGGUAGGGACCCUGGAGUCCACCAGUGGGUUCCAGCAUAACCCCCACAAGACCAACCAAGAUUAGCCACACCUUGUGGACACCAGCAGAGGGCACUCAGAGACCAGCCCAGACCAAUAAAAAUCUGAAUUCCCACUCCUGACUUCUGUUACUCUUUAGAGGCCAUCUUGGGAAGCAGGGAGAAAAGAGCCCCCUUAAGGGAUUUUGGAGAAUCAAUGCUGAUAGAUUUAACUUUGCAUUGACUGAAUAUUUACCUCAAAUAGAGUAUGUUAAACUGAACGAGAUUUUUCUAAAAGCAGACUGAAGUUUAAGUUUUUAAAAAUUCUCUCUGCUGCUGAGUGGGAAUCGGGCCCCAUAGCAAGUUGAGAUCCAUAACAGAAAAUAACAGAGAACUACAUUUUUUGCACAUCUGAGUUGUAAUGUUUGCAUUUCAACCUCCCUGAAUGCAAACUGGGAAUACUGUAAGCUCCUUUGGAUCAGCAUCUGGUGGUAGUUUGGAAAUGGCUUGGUUGCAUGAUGAUAGUCCCAAAAGGACAAAGGUAGUCUUUUCCUCUUUGUUGGAGCUGACAGUGACAUCAUAAAGAUUCCAAGGUUUCCAGUGGGCCCAGAGAAGACCAAAAGCCUGCUCAGCAGUUUGAAGGGACUCAGUGCCAAAGCUGAGGGAGUAGAUGGUUGAGGUGGAAAGUGGACACACCUCCACCACACCCUUAAUGCCAGCAGGCUGCAGAAGAGUUCCUCAAGUGAAGAAGAGCAUGAACUCUGGAACCAGGUGACCCAGCUAUGAAUCUACUCCAUUCUAUACAGCCUUGAGGAAAUAGCUUAAUUCUCUGACAUUGGUUGCUCAUUUGCUAAAUGGGGAUCCUAAUAGCACUACAUACUAGGAUGUGUGAGUGGUUAUUCUAUAUCAAGUCCUUACACGAAUUCCUGGCACACAAAGAAACUACCAGUAUGGAUUUGCUAUGAUCAUUGCUCUACACAGGAUGAUGCUUCAUGAAGAAAUUAAAACCUGUUAAACUUUUUAAAAAUGUUCCAUGUUUGCUCUGUAUCAUCUGUGCUAUGUAAAUUUUGGACCCUACCACAUACAAAUACUUGGUUCCAACGGAGUCACACCUAAGAGAGCAGCCCCUGGGGGUAGUAUGUCAAAAGUCCUGCUUCAUUCUGGAGGCUAAACUCAGAAACACAGGCUGAAGAAGUCUGUUAUAUGUACCCAUCCACCCCUCUUUCUUUUUUUUUUUUUUUAAGAUUUUAUUUGUUCAUGAGAGACUCAGAGAGAGAGGCAGAGACAUAGGCAGAGGGAGAAGCAGGCUCCAUGCAGGGAGCCCAACGUGGGACUCGAUCCUGAGUCUCCAGGAUCACGACCUGAGCUGAAGACAGAUGCUCAACCACUGAGCCACCCAGGCGUCCCCAUCCACCCCUCUUUAGAGUGAUUUCUGUCUUUUAGCAUUCAGAACCAUUUUCAGCCCAGAAACAACAGACUGCUUCCCUGCCUUGAUCUGACUGACUGUUUUAGUUGCUAUUCUUUUAUCUUCCACAACUGGGUGACGUUGCUCUCUGAAUUUUUAUAGCACUUCAGGGUGAGGGAAGCUAUUGUUACCAGAAGAAUCUUUAAGUGUAUUAUUCAUUCCUUUGAACAGAGAUUUGUUGUUAUUUUAAAAUUCUAAACCUUUGGAGCAGUGAGAAUUUUAGGAGAACAAACUCUUCAAGGUAUAACGAGACUGCAUCUGUGCUAUUAUAAAGUAGAAUCCUACCAUCAAUUGCUUGUGGUAGAGCCUGGUGUUCACAAAACUCAGGUUAGGCUUUUGUCUUAUAUGGGUUGAGGCUAACCGUGCUCCCUGAUCCCUGGCAACAGACUCUCAGGUGGCCACCUAUGGAUUCAUACAGGUAUUUGCUCAUUGAGGAGCUAGUGAGGACAAAUGAGGAACCCAUUAUGUACCACCAUUUGCUAAGUACUUGUCACAUACCAGCACUGUACCAGGCAAUCCUCGUUAGAUAUUAUGUUAGUGUCCUAGGGCUGUAAGAACAAAUUACCAUGAACUUGGUUUGGUGGCUUAAAACAACAGAAGUUUAGGAGUGCCUGGAUGGCUCAGUCCAUUGAUAGAUAAUAGCUCAGGUCUUGAUCUCAGGGUCAUGAGUUCAAGCCCUGCACUGGGCUCUAUGCUGGGUGUGGAGCAUAUUUAAAAACAAAGAAACCAAUCAACAAACAAAAAAACAAAAGUUUAUUUUCACAGUUUUGGAGACUAGAAGUCCAAAAUCAAGGUGUUGGGGCAAGGCCAUGCUCUCUUAAUAGGCCCUAAGGGGGAAUUCUUUGCCUCUUCUGUUCCUUGGGAUGUGGUUGCAUCACUCUAAUUUCGGCCUCUGUGGUCACAUUGUCUUUUCCUCUUCUCUAUGUCUCCUCCUUUUCUGACCCUUAUAAGGACAGCUAUUGGAUUUAGGGGCCAUCCAGAUAAUCCAGGAAGCUCUCAUCUUGGGAUCCUUAAUUUAAUGACAUCUGCAAAGAUCUUUUUCCCAAAUAAGGUCACAUUCACAGGUUCUGGGGUUUAAGACAUGGGUAUAUCUCUUGGGGUACCACCAUUCAAACUACUAUAGAUACCUUUGAAAUUCUCAGAAUUAUACUCUGAAAACAUCAUUGUCUCAAAACUCAACUUCAGAAAGUUUUAAAUUGUUUAGGGUUAUGUUCCUUGUAAGUUACAAUCCUUGUAAAUACAGGAUUGUGUGGUUUCAAAGCUGUUGUUAUUUCUACUGUAUCAUACUAAAAAUAGCAAUAACAGAUACUUAUUGCUGUUGUUUAUCGAAUACCAACUGUAUCAGGUGUACUAGAAAUAUUGUUUCUAAAUUUAAUGAUAAUCCUACAAAUUAGGUCUUUUUAUUCACAAUUUAUAGAUGAGGAAACUGAGGCUCAGCUGAAUUAAAAAGGCUCCAAGUCAUACAUAUAGUAAAUGGUUUGGUUAGAAUUUGAAAUCAAAGGCAAAACAAGUCCAGUGCCACUGGAGAAAUCUUCAAAGCACUGAGGAAACCUACAAAUACUAGGUUAGCAGCAUGACUUUUAGUAGAUGAAGGCUAGGCUAAGUCUCUAAGAAAGGCAUUUAAAAUUCCUAAAACAUUUAGAAUCAGUUUAACCCUAUCUGAUGCAGUGUGGUUUGGGCAUUUUCUACAUUGUGAGUGAAGCAGAGAUUUGAGGCAUUUUCUUUUUUUUUUUCUUCUAGCCCUUAAGCGUAUCUCGGUUGUCAGGUUCUUUCCAUGCUUUGACUUCACCCAGUUAAGGAGGACUGCCUUUGACUUUACAGAAAGCACAGUAACUUCACUUUGAAAAGCACUUUAGUAUUUUCAGAGCUCUAUCUCAUUUAGUUCUUCAAACAGUCCUGAGGUUGGCAGGGUAAGUACUAUUAUCUUCAUUUUACAGUCAAGGAGACCAAGUUUCAAAGUGAGUCGUUACCAGCUAUUUGCUUCGCACAGAGGCAAAAGCGACUUGAGACUGACUGGAAUUCUAAUUCCGUUUUCAGUGCACCAAGCCUAUUUUAGAGUAGAAAAAAAAAUCCAAGGAAAAAAUUAAGGAUAAAUUUGGCUAGUGUCAGCUUUUGGUAGGUUAAAAAGUAGGAAAAAGGUCUCCUUUCCCUCUUCAGUCUUGGGGUGAACUCUUGCAUUUUGGCACUGGUACUCAAAAGUGAUCUGCAGGGGUGCCUGGGUGGCUCAGUCGGUUAAGCAUCUGCCUUUGGCUCAAAUCAUGAUCUCAGAUGUCAGACUUACUGCUCACCAGGGAGUCUGUCUCUCCCUCUCCCUCUGCCUCUCCACCCACCACCUCAUGCUCUCUCUCAAGUAAAUAAAAUCUUUUUAAAAAGUGAUCUGCAAUUGAUAAUUUUUUCUUUCAGAGGGCUCUUUUGGAACCUUAUUCUCCUUGCAAAUAAGAGGGCUGAGUGUGCUUCACUAUGUCCAAAUUGGUGUUUAUAGUCCCAUCCUUAGAUAAUAAAUGUUACUUCAUGAUGCUGAACUUGGUAUUACACAGUUCUGAACCCCUCUUCCAAAGACUGGAGCCAUACAUGAUGAAAUUUUAUGACAAAUCAUAGAAUUGAAAUGAAAAAAAAAUACUCAAGUCAUACUAACUCAGAUAAUAUGCAGAAAUAUCUUUAAGUCACUGGUUCUCAGGCUUCACUUGAGAGGGAAGUGAUUUUCUAAAUAAUGUUGGAGGGAAAAGAGUUUAAUCCAAGGAACAUGACUGCCUGCCAAAAUAAUUAUUCCCUAACUAUGGUAUGAAUGAAUGCUCCUCUUUUCUCUUGAAUCAUUAUUUCCAACUUAAGGCUUAUGCUUCUCCCUAGAUAUCAUGGCCACUGCCCACUUCUAGGACCUUCAGAUACUCAGCUACCAUCUCCUACUUGCUGUCCUAUCCAAUACUGGCUAAGACUGACCAAUAGCUUUUCCUGGCAGCCCUUUGACUCCUCACCUCUAAACUACACACACAUACACACACACACACAGCCAAGCCAACCAACACUUACCUAGAAUUGUUAGCUCUUCCUGUAACCUCCAGACUUAGAUGAAACACCAUACCUUAGGUUGAAGGAUCCAGUGACCCUAGUAGUUGGGGACAUCCCUUGAUAUGUGAGGUAACUAAUUCUCAGUGAGGCCAAUUUUGACCAAUGAGAAACAGGCAGUGGGAGGGAGCUUAGAAGUAAACUCCCUCUUUAGUCCUUCUCAAUGAAUACUAGAGGCAAGAUUUUGCCUUGUACCUUAUUCCAAGAUGUUUCAUGUGCCAGCAAGUACAGACCUGCUGCUGCACUUUGCCUCAUUAUGGCUCAUCACAAAGGAGAGGCUAGUUCUGUCAGGCACUUUUCUUUGCACUACUUCAUAUUCUUCCUUCCCUUCUUUCCUUUUUCCUGCACUUCCCAAAUAAUGUAUCAGCACUUUAAUCCUUGCUUCAGGCUCUGUUUUCUAGAGUAUCUAGGCUAUUUCUUAUUAGAUUGUGAUAGAAUAUGUCCAGUGUGUUGGUAUUCUCACUUCCAAGCACCUCCCUUUCCAGUUUAGUCCAACACACCCUUGAAGCACACACUGAAUGUGGCCUUUGGUGGGACUCCAUUGUCUGUAAAAUAGAGUCUACAUCCCAUCAUUUGGCAUUAACAGCCCUGUAGAUUGGCUCUCAAAGUAAUUUUCCAAUUUUAUUUUCCAUGAUCUUUCAUUUAUACACCCUGUUCUCUGGCCAAACUGAACUACUUAAAACUUUUACCUCAUAUUUUCUGAGCUCCAUGCCCUUAAUCACACUGUUCCCUCAAUCUGUAAUGUCCACACUUACAUCUUCUUUCCACAUGUUUAAAUUCUAUCCAUCAAGGGCAAGCUCAAAUGCCACUUCCUUCUUAGAUUAAUCAUCAAUUUCCUUCUCUUUGCCGCCAACCCACAAAAUUCAAUAAUGUCUCUUUUCUGACCCUCCCCUGUCAUCAUCUUGUCUAUGCUUCUCUAUGGUGCUUCCUACUUUUUACCUUACAUUAUAGUAUCUUGAUAUAUUUGCUUUCCCCAAUUAAACCAUAAGCUCUUUAGGGGCAUAUCUGACUUAUUUGUUUCUCUGACACAUAACAUGGUAACUUGCAUAUAAUUGGUGCUUAGGAAAAUUUCAUGAAAUGAAUAAACAGUCCAAACAUUAUAUAAAAGUAUAGGAUUAUAGCUUAAAACCAAAUAAAUUAAAAUAUUUCUUAUCUCAAGCCCUAGAUUCUUGUCUUUUCAGGGAUAUACAAAAGAAAGAAAAGGCCACAGAGAUGCUUCUAUUUGUAAAUUGAAAGGUCAAGAGAUAUUAAUAGUGAGAAUGCUGUGGUUUUCUGCCUGGGGCCAUAAAACAGAACAUGCCAAAGCAUUUUGCUGACCUUGGACAGUUGGCUAAGACACAUUACCAAAUGAUCUAGCUUCUUAAGAAAUAAUUAAUAUACAAGGUUUCUGAAUAAUUAUUCCUUCUGAAAAUGGAGGAAAAUUUUGAUUUAAAAAAUUUGAGGCUGAGGGUAUCUUUAUAGUUCUUUUAUAUCAUUAUAAAGUCUAACAGGUUAAAGCCUACAGCAAAAAAAAUAGCUACACAGAAAAUAUAUAAACUUUUAAACAUAAUAUUUCUAGUCACUCUGUAUUAAUCACUUCUCAGAUGAGUGAAAUCUUCAUAGGAAGAACAGGCAAAAUCAUUGUCUGAGGAGAUUCAUGGGUGGCUCAGCAGAAGCUCAGGGCAUGAUCCUGGAGUCCCGGGAUGGAGUCCCAGAUCGUCCUCCCUGCAGGGAACCUGCUUCUCCCUCUGCCUGUGUCUCUGCCUCUCUCUC